rnacentral:rRNA from 1 species
AAUCAACGCUGGCGGCGUGCCUAACACAUGCAAGUCGAACGCGAAAGUGGAGCAAUCCAUGAGUAGAGUGGCGAACGGGUGAGUAACACGUGGGUGACCUACCUUCGAAUGGGGGAUAACGUCCCGAAAGGGACGCUAAUACCGCAUAACAUCCUGCCUUUGAACAGGUGGAGAUCAAAGCCGGGGAUCGCAAGACCUGGCGUUUGAAGAGGGGCCCGCGUCUGAUUAGCUAGUUGGUGAGGUAACGGCUCACCAAGGCGACGAUCAGUAUCCGGCCUGAGAGGGCGGACGGACACACUGGGACUGAGACACGGCCCAGACUCCUACGGGAGGCAGCAGUGGGGAAUUGUUCGCAAUGGGCGCAAGCCUGACGACGCAACGCCGCGUGGAGGAU